ACAAACAGAUCAAAUAAAAGAGUAGCCCAUUCAGAUAGCCCGAUAGAAACAUCCAAUAACAUCUCCUUAAUGCUAGGGUUCCUAGUUCCUAAUGCGCCUCUCUCUUUGAGCAUAACUCCACUCCAACCUGAAAAAUAUUUCCACUUUGGAUCAACAAGAAGUUCCACCUCCUCAAGCUAUGGACUAUCACCAUUCAAGAGUGAACAAGCAAGUUACAGUUAGCUGGGAAACCACCUUCUUGUUCUAGAUGAACAAAUUGGAAUCACCUAUUCAGCUAGUUCAUAUGUUCAUUUGUAGAGCAAGUACAUCUUCUCUCCUUUUUCUCAAAGAACUCGAGGAAGGUACAAAAGAAAAUAUUUUGGAGAGAUGCCAUCACUAUAGGAUAUUGAUGGCUUCAUAGUUUCAUAUUCUUCUGCAGCUCAGGAAUCUCCUAUUUAUGGAGAAAAAACCAUGUGGGAUUUAGUUACCCAAAGUUCCAAAGCAACAAAGUAUGCUAAUCAACGUGAAGAAUUUGAGUUCACGUGGAACCCUAUUGUUGGAUAUAUAGAUCUUGUGAAGCUUAGAUUGCCCCAAUUUUAGGGUAAGGGGGAUGCAUUAUCUAACUCCAACCUGGCAUCAGAAGAAUUUGACUCACCGCAGUCUUUCUUUAGUUAUAUCUGAAGUUGUUCCUAUAGUGUCGGCAUGUAAUUAUAUAGCUUGUUUCAAUUUUCUUUUUACCUAGGAAGAGGAGUUUGAGAAAUGGGAGGUGUACAUCAUUCUUCUAUGUAUAUUGAAAUGUGAACCUUUAAUUUCUGGAACUUGACUUCCAAGUUAAGAAGCGAAUUGGAUGGAGCUAUGAUUACAAGCAGA